AGAGUUUGAUCCUGGCUCAGAUUGAACGCUGGCGGCAUGCUUCACACAUGCAAGUCGAACGGCAGCACGGGCUUCGGCCUGGUGGCGAGUGGCGAACGGGUGAGUAAUGCGUCGGAACGCGCCGAGUAGUGGGGGAUAACGCAGCGAAAGCUGUGCUAAUACCGCAUACGUACUGAGGUAGAAAGUGGGGGACCUUCGGGCCUCACGCUAUUCGAGCGGCCGACGUCUGAUUAGCUAGUUGGUGGGGUAAAGGCUCACCAAGGCGACGAUCAGUAGCGGGUCUGAGAGGAUGAUCCGCCACACUGGGACUGAGACACGGCUCAGACUCCUACGGGAGGCAGCAGUGGGGAAUUUUGGACAGUGGGCGCAAGCCUGAUCCAGCCAUGCCGCGUGUCUGAAGAAGGCCUUCGGGUUGUAAAGGACUUUUGUCCGGGAGCAAAGCCUACUUGUU
rnacentral:rRNA from 1 species